UGAGUACGAGCUGCUACGGCAGCGAAGUGGGUGACGUCAUGCUUCCAAGAAAAGCCCUAUACCCGUUAAGGCAUGAUGGCCUGUACCCGAAACCGACACAGGUGGGGUGGUAGAGAAUACCGAGGGGCGCGAGGUAACUCUCUCUAAGGAACUCGGCAAAAUGGCCCCGUAACUUCGGGAGAAGGGGUGCCACCGCAAGGUGGUCGCAGUGAAGAGGCCCAGGCGACUGUUUACCAAAAACACAGGUCUCCGCUAAGUCGCAAGACGAUGUAUGGGGGCUGACGCCUGCCCAGUGCCGGAAGGUUAAGGAAGCUGGUCAGCGUAAGCGAAGCUAGCGACUGAAGCCCCGGUGAACGGCGGCCGUAACGAUAACGGUCCUAAGGUAGCGAAAUUCCUUGUCGGGUAAGUUCCGACCCGCACGAAAGGCGUAACGAUCUGGGCGCUGUCUCGGAGAGAGGCUCGGCGAAAUAGAAUUGUCUGUGAAGAUGCGGACUACGUGCACCCGGACAGAAAGACCCUAUGAAGCUUUACUGUAGCUUGGUAUUGUGCUCGGGCUCGGAAUGCGCAGGAUAGGUGGGAGGCUAUGAACCAUUGCUUGUGGGUGAUGGUGAGCCACUGGUGAGAUACCACUCUUUCCGAGCUAGAGUUCUAACAGCCACCCGUUAUCCGGGGGCUGGACAGUAUCAGGUGGGCAGUUUGACUGGGGCGGUCGCCUCCUAAAAGGUAACGGAGGCGCGCAAAGGUUUGCUCAGGCUGGUUGGAAAUCAGCCGACGAGUGUAAAAACAGAAGCAAGCUUGACUGUGAGACCUACAAGUCGAACAGGGAGGAAACUCGGCUUUAGUGAUCCGACGGUUCUGCGUGGAAGGGCCGUCGCUCAACGGAUAAAAGUUACUCUAGGAUAACAGGCUGAUCUUCCCCAAGAGUUCACAUCGACGGGGAGGUUUGGCACCUCGAUGUCGGCUCAUCGCAACCUGGGGCUGAAGUCGGUCCCAAGGGUUGGGCUGUUCGCCCAUUAAAGCGGUACGCGAGCUGGGUUCAGAACGUCGUGAGACAGUUCGGUCCAUAUCCGGUGCAUGCGCAGGAAUAUUGAGAGGAUUUCUCCCUAGUACGAGAGGACCGGGAGGAACGCACCUCUGGUGUACCAGUUAUCGUGCCAACGGUAAACGCUGGGUAGCCAUGUGCGGAGAGGAUAACCGCUGAAAGCAUCUAAGUGGGAAGCCCACCUCAAGAUGAGUAUUCCCAUGGGGUAACCCAGUAAGGUCACGGGAAGAACACCCGUUGAUAGGCUCUACGUGGAAGCGCAGUAAUGUGUGAAGCGGAGGAGUACUAAUAGACCGAGGGCUUGACC
rnacentral:rRNA from 1 species